rnacentral:sRNA from 1 species
CUCAGCUUAAUAGCAGGACGCUGGCAACAGGCGCUCCCUGCUCCAGUCCAGCCUGCCCGCUCCACCGCCGCUAUGGUCUCCGUGCCUACCACCUGGUGCUCCGUUGCGCUAGCCCUGCUCGUGGCCCUGCAUGAAGCUCCUGGCUCGACAAGGAGUGCGUCUACUUCUGCCACUUGGACAUCAUCUGGGUGAACACUCCUGAACAGACAGCUCCUUACGGCCUGGGAAACCCGCCAAGACGCCGGCGCCGCUCCCUGCCAAGGCGCUGUCAGUGCUCCAGUGCCAGGGACCCCGCCUGUGCCACCUUCUGCCUUCGAAGGCCCUGGACUGAAGCCGGGGCAGUCCCAAGCCGGAAGUCCCCUGCAGACGUGUUCCAGACUGGCAAGACAGGGGCCACUACAGGAGAGCUUCUCCAAAGGCUGAGGGACAUUUCCACAGUCAAGAGCCUCUUUGCCAAGCGACAACAGGAGGCCAUGCGGGAGCCUCGGUCCACACAUUCCAGGUGGAGGAAGAGAUAGUGUCGUGAGCUGGAGGAACAUUGGGAAGGAAGCCCGCGGGGAGAGAGGAGGAGAGAAGUGGCCAGGGCUUGUGGACUCUCUGCCUGCUUCCUGGACCGGGGCCUUGGUCCCAGACAGCUGGACCCAUUUGCCAGGAUUGGCACAAGCUCCCGGGUGAGGGAGCCUCGUCCAAGGCAGUUCUGUGUCCUCGCACUGCCCAGGGAAGCCCUCGGCCUCCAGACUGCAGAGCAGCCUCCAGUGCUGGCUGCUGGCCCACAGCUCUGCUGGAAGAACUGCAUGGGG